GACGAACGCUGGCGGCGUGCUUAACACAUGCAAGUCGAACGAAGUGGCGAACGGGUGAGUAACGCGUAAUCAACCUGCCCUUCAGCGGGGGACAACAGUUGGAAACGACUGCUAAUACCGCAUACUGCUGUUGGUGCUUGCGUCUGAUUAGGUAGUUGGCGGGGUAACGGCCCACCAAGGCGAUGAUCAGUAGCCGGUCUGAGAGGAGGAACGGCCAAAAUGGGAAUGAGAAACGGCCCAGACUCCUACGGGAGGGAGCAGUGGGGAAGCUGCCGGAAUGGACGAAAGUCUGACGGAGCAACGCCGCGUGAGUGAUGACGGCCUUCGGGUUGUAAAGCUCUGUUAAUCGGGACGCGGUACCGGAAUAGAAAGCCACGGCUAACUACGUGCCAGCAGCCGCGGUAAUUC
rnacentral:rRNA from 1 species